UACGUAGGGGGCAAGCGUUGUCCGGAUUCAUUGGGCGUAAAGAGCGUGUAGGCGGCCAGGUAGGUCGGUUGUGAAAACUGGAGGCUCAACCUUCAGAGGUCGACCGAAACCAUCUGGCUAGAGUCCGGGAGAGGAGAGUGGAAUUCCUGGUGUAGCGGUGAAAUGCGCAGAUAUCAGGAAGAACACCCGUGGCGAAAGCGGCUCUCUGGGCAACAACUGACGCUGAGGAGCGAAAGCGUGGGGAGCGAACAGG
rnacentral:rRNA from 1 species